rnacentral:rRNA from 1 species
GAUGAACGCUGGCGGCGUGCCUAAUACAUGCAAGUCGAGCGAACGGACGAGAAGCUUGCUUCUCUGAUGUUAGCGGCGGACGGGUGAGUAACACGUGGAUAACCUACCUAUAAGACUGGGAUAACUUCGGGAAACCGGAGCUAAUACCGGAUGAUAUUUUGAACCGCAUGGUUCAAAAGUGAAAGACGGUCUUGCUGUCACUUAUAGAUGGAUCCGCGCUGCAUUAGCUAGUUGGUAAGGUAACGGCUUACCAAGGCAACGAUGCAUAGCCGACCUGAGAGGGUGAUCGGCCACACUGGAACUGAGACACGGUCCAGACUCCUACGGGAGGCAGCAGUAGGGAAUCUUCCGCAAUGGGCGAAAGCCUGACGGAGCAACGCCGCGUGAGUGAUGAAGGUCUUCGGAUCGUAAAACUCUGUUAUUAGGGAAGAACAUAUGUGUAAGUAACUGUGCACAUCUUGACGGUACCUAAUCAGAAAGCCACGGCGAACUACGG